AUGGCGGUGCACGUGCUGCUCCUCGCCGGGCCUGCGGUCGUCGGCGGGUUCCUGCACGCGUUCAAGUUCUCCAUCCUGCUGUGGCCGUUCAACCUCACGCUGCCGCUGCUGCGCCACCUGCCGCGGGUCUGCGCCACGCUCCGGGCGGCCGCGGCGCAGUUCGACGCCGAGCUGCGCGCGUUGCUGAGUGGCCGACGGCAGAGGGCGCCGGUGCCGCAGCUGGACCACCAGUACUCUGCCCUCCGCCCCGUGCAGAGACGGCCGGCGGGACAGCUCGUCGCGCAGGCCAUGCUGGCCCUCGUCGACGUCUCAUACUGA
rnacentral:rRNA from 1 species